GACCAGGAAAAGACAUCAUAGCCAGCUCAUUUUAAAAAUAAAUCACAAUUUAUGAAGAUUACUAUGAUGGGAUUAAAUUCAUCAACUGAAACAGUAAAAUAGCCCUAAUUCUUCCGCCAGUCAAAAACUAGUUCCAAACUCAUUGAUAUAUCUUCCUGAUCUUGGCAAAGGAAGUUCAGUAGUUACCACUUCUAGAAUUAGUGUUAGAUUUUCAAUCAUAUUCAUACACUUUUGUCAAUCAGCAAUAUCAAAGGGAAAAAAAACCUGAAUGGAAUGUGUCGAACGAAUAUCUUUAGCCUUCCUGAUGUAAUUAGGCUCAUGAAACCAUCCACUCAUCUUCUGAUUGGCGCUGAUUAGAGAGUGAGAGUCAUGUGCCCUCUAUGUUAGCUUUGGGAAAGAGAACUUCCUUCCAAACACCAAGGUCCAAUCUGGACUAAGAAAGAGGUAGACAAAGAGAGCCAAGUAAUAAACAAAGAGUGACAAAGAAAGAUGAGAAGACAAAAACAGACAAGGAGAAACAAAUUAUAGAUAGACAGAGAGGUAGUUAAGGGAGAAUCAGAAGUCAAUGAACUUGAAAUAUGAAUGACAUUUCUGAGAGCUAUUUCCAAUGAAAUAUCAAGUACUAAUCUAUUCAGCUCUAUGACCAGUCCUGCACUUUUCCACAUUAACAUGGCUAUCAUAUUAGCAAAUUUUUGCCCAUCAUACAGAAGAACGGAUGGGUUCACAUUGAUUCUUAAAUGGUUACAUUCUUAAAUGUGUAGUAUUCUUAAAGUACACACACAAAGGAAAUUCAUGAAAGUGAUGAUUAUAGACAAAUUAUAUAUGGAUGGAAAGGUCUCCUCUUUUUAUACACAAAUACACAUGUAUAUCACUAAAAAGUCUUAUAGAUGUCGUGGAAAUGCAAGAAAUGAAAUCAUUAGAGACCAUUCUCAGCCCCCAGCCGCCCCCAAACAGACAAUCACGCGGUCAAAAACAGUCAAGAAUAAUGACGUCACAUCAUCGACUCACUCAUCAUCUCUCUGUGCAUAAUACACUGAUUCACCUUCCUGGUCUCUAUUUUUCUUCGAAUUUACUGUUUUCUCCAUGGAUUGUGAUAUCUGAUUUCUGUUUUCGACAACUUCAGACUAUAAGUGAACCAGAACUGUGUUACUUUGCCCGUGUUUAUUGAAUUGUGAACUGUAAAGACAGAUUUUGUCCAUUUGACAGUCUUCGUUGUGUUGCUCCACUCCACUGUCCAGUCACUGUAUUUAUUGAAAAACUCCAAGCUGUACAGGCCCAUUCACUAGCUGCUUGCUGCUGGCCGGGGCACUGCAUGAGCGGAUGCAGGUUACGCUGUUUGAUCCAUCCACAAAAGUCAAGAUCUGCACACUUGCUGCUUCAAUCUGGGAGAUUCUAUCAUGUCCUUUAACUCAUUUGGACAUGUAGCCAUUUUUUUUUCUUCACUCUGCUAUUCAGGAGCUAUGGUUUGCAAGUUUUGGACUGAUAAUGAUACAACAGAAAAUUGAUCUUUAUCGAUCUUGGAAACAAUUUUGAGCACAGUUUUG